rnacentral:rRNA from 1 species
UACGAAGGGGGCUAGCGUUGUUCGGAAUUACUGGGCGUAAAGCGCACGUAGGCGGCUUUGUAAGUUAGAGGUGAAAGCCCGGGGCUCAACUCCGGAAUUGCCUUUAAGACUGCAUCGCUAGAAUUGUGGAGAGGUAAGUGGAAUUCCGAGUGUAGAGGUGAAAAUCCGUAGAUAUUCGGAAAGAACACCAGUGGCGAAGGCGACUUACUGGA